rnacentral:rRNA from 1 species
GACGAACGCUGGCGGCGUGCUUAACACAUGCAAGUCGAACGGAAAGACCCGGCGUUUGCUGGGUGCUCGAUUGGCGAACGGGUGAGUAACACAUGAGUAACCUGCCCUUGUCUUUGGGAUAACUUCAGGGAACAGGGGCGAAUACCGGAUAGGAUCUCCUGCUCCAUGGUGGGGGUUGGAAAGUUUCGGCGGUUUGGGAUGGUCUCGCGGCUUAUCAGCCGGUUGGUGGGGUAGUGGAUUACCAAGGCUUUGACGGGUAGCCGGCCUGAGAGGGUGACCGGCCACAUUGGGCCUGGGAUACGGCCCAGAGUCAUACGGGAGGCAGCAGCGGGGAAUAUUCCAAACAGGCGGAAGCCUGAUGCAGCGACGCCGGGUGCGUGAUGCCGGCCUUCGGGUUGUAAACCGCUUUCGCCUGUGACGAGGCGUGCGUGACGGUACUGGGUAAAGAAGCCCCGGCUAACUACGUG